rnacentral:rRNA from 1 species
GACGAACGCUGGCGGCGUGCUUAACACAUGCAAGUCGAACGGAAAGGCCCCGCUUUUGUGGGGUGCUCGAGUGGCGAACGGGUGAGUAACACGUGAGUAACCUGCCCUUGACUUUGGGAUAACUUCAGGAAACUGGGGCUAAUACCGGAUAGGAGCUCCUGCUGCAUGGUGGGGGUUGGAAAGUUUCGGCGGUUGGGGAUGGACUCGCGGCUUAUCAGCUUGUUGGUGGGGUAGUGGCUUACCAAGGCUUUGACGGGUAGCCGGCCUGAGAGGGUGACCGGCCACAUUGGGACUGAGAUACGGCCCAGGCUCCUACGGGAGGCAGCAGUGGGGAAUAUUGCACAAUGGGCGGAAGCCUGAUGCAGCAACGCCGCGUGCGGGAUGACGGCCUUCGGGUUGUAAACCGCUUUCGCCUGUGACGAAGCGUGAGUGACGGUAAUGGGUAAAGAAGCACCGGCUAACUACGUG